UGCCCUUUAGUGAAGUGGUUAACACGUGUCCCUCCUAAGGACAAGACCUGCGGUUCGAAUCCGCAAAGGGCAA
rfam:Sphaeroforma arctica JP610 cont1.801, whole genome shotgun sequence.